rnacentral:rRNA from 1 species
UACGGAGGAUGCAAGCGUUAUCCGGAAUGAUUGGGCGUAAAGCGUCCGCAGGUGGCUGUGUAAGUCUGCUGUCAAAGAGCGAAGCUCAACUUCGUAAAGGCAGUGGAAAACUACACGGCUAGAGUGCGUUCGGGGCAGAGGGGAAUUCCUGGUGUAGCGGUGAAAUGCGUAGAGAUCAGGAAGAACACCGGUGGCGAAGGCGCUCUGCUAGGCCGCAACUGACACUGAGGGGACGAAAGCUAGGGGAGCGAAUGGG